GUAAUAGCUCACUGGUCGAGUCGGCCUGCGCGGAAGAUGUAACGGGGCUAAACCAUGCACCGAAGCUGCGGCAGCGACACUGUGUGUUGUUGGGUAGGGGAGCGUUCUGUAAGCCUGCGAAGGUGUGCUGUGAGGCAUGCUGGAGGUAUCAGAAGUGCGAAUGCUGACAUAAGUAACGAUAAUGCGGGUGAAAAACCCGCACGCCGGAAGACCAAGGGUUCCUGUCCAACGUUAAUCGGGGCAGGGUGAGUCGACC
rnacentral:rRNA from 1 species